UACGUAGGGUGCAAGCGUUAAUCAGAAUUACUGGGCGUAAAGCGUGCGCAGGCGGUCUUGCAAGACAGAUGUGAAAUCCCCGGGCUCAACCUGGGAACUGCAUUUGUGACUGCAAGGCUGGAGUGCGGCAGAGGGGGAUGGGAUUCCGCGUGUAGCAGUGAAAUGCGUAGAUAUGCGGAGGAACACCGAUGGCGAAGGCAAUCCCCUGGGCCUGCACUGACGCUCAUGCACGAAAGCGUGGGUAGCAAACGGG
rnacentral:rRNA from 1 species